CGCGCGGGGCGGGCCCAUUUAUGGGCAGGCCCUGCGGGACUGAGUGGCGGACGGGUGAGUAACGCGUGGGCAACCUGCCCCAUGCCGGGGGACAACGGCCGGAAACGGCCGCUAAUACCGCAUAAGCCCAGGGGGCCGCAUGGCCCGCUGGGGAAAGCUCCGGCGGCAUGGGAGGGGCCCGCGUCUGAUUAGCUGGUUGGCGGGGCAGCGGCCCACCAAGGCGACGAUCAGUAGCCGGCCUGAGAGGGCGACCGGCCACAUUGGGACUGAGACACGGCCCAGACUCCUGCGGGAGGCAGCAGUGGGGAAUAUUGCACAAUGGGGGAAACCCUGAUGCAGCGACGCCGCGUGAGCGAGGAAGUAUUUCGGUAUGUAAAGCUCUGUCAGCGGGGAAGAAAGAAAUGACGGUACCCGACCAAGAAGCACCGGCUAAAUACGUGCCAGCAGCCGCGGUAAUACGUAUGGUGCAAGCGUUAUCCGGAUUUACUGGGUGUAAAGGGAGCGCAGGCGGCGCGGCAAGUCCGAUGUGAAAACCCCCGGCUCAACCGGGGGACUGCAUUGGAAACUACCGGGCUGGAGUGCCGGAGAGGUAGGCGGAAUUCCUGGUGUAGCGGUGAAAUGCGUAGAUAUCAGGAGGAACACCAGUGGCGAAGGCGGCCUACUGGACGGUGACUGACGCUGAGGCUCGAAAGCGUGGGGAGCAAACA
rnacentral:rRNA from 1 species